AUGCUCAAGGUGCUUUGAGAACGCUGGCAAGCGCGGUGGCGCUCUUUCAUCCCCUGGAGGACGUCUUGAUAUUCUGGGUGGCAAACCUUGGUAUGUCUUGGGAGGAAUGCAAGUCUUCUGCGCUGCGCUAGAGACCUGCGGCGGAAGGGUUAACGGCUCCAGUGCUCGAUGCCUUUGCAAUGCACGGCCUCUGGGGCUGGAUACAGGGUCUUUGGUUCCGUCUUUGCAAGCGCGAGGUGACAGAUCCCUAUUGCGUACGGGUUCGGCUGCAUCGGACGUGCGCUCUGGAAACCCGCGGGUCGCUGGCAGUGCAAGUCCACUGCGCUUGUUUGCAGGGGCGUCGGCGUUCGUGCAGACCUCGGGUCGCCGCACAAUGCCGCCAUGGGACUUCAGGGCCACAGCCGAAGCGCCUUGCCGCUUCUGCACUGGAAUGCGGUCAGUCUUGGUGUGCCCGUAAGUUUCAUGAUCGAGACCGUGUUCCUGAUCCUCGGUCACGGCUGCUGGUGCAAGCGUCAGUGCUGCAACUGCCUCGCUGCCGUACUCGUCCGCGAGGUACCCGGUACGCCGCUCAAGCGUUUUUCUGCUGCGGUCUCGUCGGCGCUCUUCUGGUGGCGAAGCAUCUGCUGGACUCGACACCACCUGCGCAACACGUCGCGGAACGGAAACGUGGACUGCACUCGUCGGCGCCAGGUUCGCGCUCCGAGCAACUUCCACACGCUGAACGUGAUGCGUUGCGUCCAGGGCGACUCCAGAGAGCGGCGCUAUACCGUCCGAUGACGUUGAACUUGCGACAGGCGCACGUGCAUUGAGCACGGCGUCCGGUGAAACCUGGGCAAGAGCAAGCUUGUUAUCACGCAGUUGCUGCCUGCUUCUCCACGUCAGGAUUGUAAGCGGGCCGCGGGACUCCCUGCGACUGCGCAGCGCCGAUGACUCCCAGAAAACUACCGGUGACGCGCCCCAUGCAGCCGAUACCGUGUGUACAGCAUUGCCGUGCAGCAUUGGCGACAUUGUGGACAGACAGCUCUCUUGCUUCGCAGCGAUGCUGUUGUCCAUCAAGAAUUCGGACUCGUUGUGUUUCGCACGUGUCAGGGCAUCGCUGUCACAUGGCGGCAUGUUGGCGUACUUUUGAACCAAUCCUGCGUGAACAGCAAGAAUCGCAGACAUAUCGGCUGUGGCAUUGAGCGUCUCCUUGGUGCGUUCCAGGCGGUUGGAACCCUCUUUUUUGUCACCCAGACUGGGCUGCUCCAGCGUGUCGGGACGACCCGGGCUGCUGAUGCCAGUCAAAGACGGGGCGCUCGAGUCACCGAUUGUCACCGCCAAGCUGUUCGUAUGAUCGCUCUUGUUCUGAUCCUUGAGGAUUUGUGCUGCUUGAAAAUCUUGCUGGGAUAGCCUGACAUUUUCACACCCAUUGUGCGUUCGCUGAGGAGAUUCGUUACGGUUUCUGGUUGUUUUUCGUUUGCGCUCCGAUAAAAUUAUAGUGGUUUGUGUGAACGACGUGGUCUGGAUGAGCAUAUUGCUCUCCAAAGAGGAGCUGUCGUCCACCACCGACGUAUCGAUGAAGUCCUCCUCAGGUGGCGGUGAGGGCGGUGCGUCCGACUGGCCUGUUGGCGCACGCACCAUAGCACUCGGAGCAGGGUCGUUAGCCGGGAUCGGUGCUUCUCGGUUCGCAUUUCGAGAAAGCAGCGCUGCCCGCUGCAGUGUCGCCUUUGUUCCGGGACUUAGUACGAGAUCACCGGCCCAGAGUCCGCUGUUCUCAUGGGCCGACUCAGCGGCAAGCGCCCUCGGGUGCGAAGCCGUCGCACAGGGCGUGUUCUCGAGCGCGAUCGGCUGGAGCACGCCACGCCGCCCUCGUCCAGCAUUUGAAGUCGUUGCCUCUUCCAGUUUGUGCGUGGGGCGAAUCGAUCCACUUUUCAAUGUUGUGCCAAAGUUGUCUUGGUCUGGCUUCCCAGCGGGACCGAAGAACGUUGAAAUGAGCUCAGCACAACCACCGAUAUGGCUCGCAGUUGGCUGUAAACGCUGGGGCCACACUCGCCGGGAAGCAGGGGCGUCUGCACUCACCAUCGGCCUCCCGUACGUGCG
rnacentral:misc_RNA from 1 species